rnacentral:sRNA from 21 species
GUCAACAACCCGCCCCCUAAAACGGGGCGGGCUUGCGGGGAGGGCUACCGCAACGUAAGUGUUUGACUAGAGGCCACAAUCCGCUCAGCCUUGUGUUGAGCCGCUUGUGGAGCAGCGAUACCGGGCUAAGAAAUAGUUCGAUCCCAGGCUCAUGUGCUAGAGAGAGAGCAAAAGUACGUCCAGAUGCCCCCUAGUCUGGACCACUACC